rnacentral:misc_RNA from 1 species
GUUGGCUGCAACCUCUAAUAUCUAUAUAGGAUAGACAAGAGAAUGAAAACAGAACAUCCUCAAGCAUUCUGGGAGUUAUGCUGGUACAAUCACGUAAAACCAAGGAAGUUAUCUUUUCUUUGUUGUAGCCACUCAUUAUCGUCUGCAUCAUGGAAUCAGUGCAACUGGAAGCAACAGAUAACAGGUCAACCUGAGGGGAGAUACCCUUAUAAAUCUUUACGAUGGAUCUCCAAUGCUUACAAGUUAAAGAAGCAUAAACAAGAGAUUUAACAUCAGCUUUAAGGAAAUGAAAGACCCGUCCAAGCACACGAUCAUUCAGUAGAUCCCAGCUUCCAUUUUUUAUUCCAGAUGUAGUAAUGGUUUCUCUAUUGAAAGUUUCAUCACCACAUAGAUCAUCAAACUGGCAUUCAUCAUUCUGAAAUACCGAUAUGUCCUCUUCCAUUUCAUAUUCUUCCUCACUUCCAUGGCACCUCGCCUUCUUGCUGGCGCGAAAAUCUGGAUUGCUCUCUUUCUUUGGUUGUCUUGCAUUUAUCCAGGGAUCCAGGACCUCAUUAAUAGCAGCAGCAAGUUCCCUGCUCUUGUAUGACUUCAUGACCAACUCAUGAAGCUUUCCUUGGGUAUGCCCAAUAAACUGAGGAUGCAUGCCAUGAAAUGUGCAAGGAGCACCACUAGGUGCACUUAGUAGAG